rnacentral:rRNA from 2 species
AAAUUGAAGAGUUUGAUCAUGGCUCAGAUUGAACGCUGGCGGCAGGCCUAACACAUGCAAGUCGAACGGUAACAGGAAGCAGCUUGCUGCUUCGCUGACGAGUGGCGGACGGGUGAGUAAUGUCUGGGAAACUGCCUGAUGGAGGGGGAUAACUACUGGAAACGGUGGCUAAUACCGCAUAACGUCGCAAGACCAAAGAGGGGGACCUUCGGGCCUCUUGCCAUCAGAUGUGCCCAGAUGGGAUUAGCUUGUUGGUGAGGUAAUGGCUCACCAAGGCGACGAUCCCUAGCUGGUCUGAGAGGAUGACCAGCCACACUGGAACUGAGACACGGUCCAGACUCCUACGGGAGGCAGCAGUGGGGAAUAUUGCACAAUGGGCGCAAGCCUGAUGCAGCCAUGCCGCGUGUAUGAAGAAGGCCUUCGGGUUGUAAAGUACUUUCAGCGGGGAGGAAGGUGUUGCGGUUAAUAACCGCAGCAAUUGACGUUACCCGCAGAAGAAGCACCGGCUAACUCCGUGCCAGCAGCCGCGGUAAUACGGAGGGUGCAAGCGUUAAUCGGAAUUACUGGGCGUAAAGCGCACGCAGGCGGUCUGUCAAGUCGGAUGUGAAAUCCCCGGGCUCAACCUGGGAACUGCAUUCGAAACUGGCAGGCUUGAGUCUUGUAGAGGGGGGUAGAAUUCCAGGUGUAGCGGUGAAAUGCGUAGAGAUCUGGAGGAAUACCGGUGGCGAAGGCGGCCCCCUGGACAAAGACUGACGCUCAGGUGCGAAAGCGUGGGGAGCAAACAGGAUUAGAUACCCUGGUAGUCCACGCCGUAAACGAUGUCUACUUGGAGGUUGUGCCCUUGAGGCGUGGCUUCCGGAGCUAACGCGUUAAGUAGACCGCCUGGGGAGUACGGCCGCAAGGUUAAAACUCAAAUGAAUUGACGGGGGCCCGCACAAGCGGUGGAGCAUGUGGUUUAAUUCGAUGCAACGCGAAGAACCUUACCUGGUCUUGACAUCCACGGAAGUUUUCAGAGAUGAGAAUGUGCCUUCGGGAACCGUGAGACAGGUGCUGCAUGGCUGUCGUCAGCUCGUGUUGUGAAAUGUUGGGUUAAGUCCCGCAACGAGCGCAACCCUUAUCCUUUGUUGCCAGCGGUCCGGCCGGGAACUCAAAGGAGACUGCCAGUGAUAAACUGGAGGAAGGUGGGGAUGACGUCAAGUCAUCAUGGCCCUUACGACCAGGGCUACACACGUGCUACAAUGGCGCAUACAAAGAGAAGCGACCUCGCGAGAGCAAGCGGACCUCAUAAAGUGCGUCGUAGUCCGGAUUGGAGUCUGCAACUCGACUCCAUGAAGUCGGAAUCGCUAGUAAUCGUGGAUCAGAAUGCCACGGUGAAUACGUUCCCGGGCCUUGUACACACCGCCCGUCACACCAUGGGAGUGGGUUGCAAAAGAAGUAGGUAGCUUAACCUUCGGGAGGGCGCUUACCACUUUGUGAUUCAUGACUGGGGUGAAGUCGUAACAAGGUAACCGUAGGGGAACCUGCGGUUGGAUCACCUCCUUA